rfam:Anguilla japonica DNA, repeat sequence, TnaSINE1-14.
GUGUAAAAGUUGUGUAAAGUCGCUCUGGAUAAGAGCGUCUGCUAAAUGCCUGUAA